UCCAUCUUCCCUGAGCGAGUCUCUCCUAGCGCUCUCUAGGUUAGGGUUUUGGUUGCUUUGUGCUGUGUUUAUUUAUUGCAUUCAUUAUUUGUUCAUUUCAUUUAUUGAUUGCAUUGAUUGUGUGCAUUAAUGUUUGCAUUCAUAUUCAUUAUUCAUUCUGCCUGGCUGGUUGUCUGUUUUUCUUUGUGGGGUGGGAGUCAGUUGAGGUAA
rnacentral:lncRNA from 1 species